rnacentral:lncRNA from 1 species
GGGUUGAUCAAACUUUGAAUCAGCAGCACAAGUAUCCUGUCUCUAUGGGUAUCCAUAGAGCCGACCUCAAUUAUUUUUUUUUGGAUCCUGCUUGCUUGAGCUGAAAGCCUGAAUAGGCUUGAGCCAAGCCUGGAUAGAGAAUAAUUCAUGAAUCCUUUUGAUCUUUCUUUCUUGAUUCUUGAAGAAAUAAAAAAUCUUUCUUGAUCCCUCAACUA